rnacentral:snoRNA from 1 species
AAGACUAUACUUUCAGGGAUCAUUUCUAUAGUUCGUUACUAGAGAAGUUUCUCUGAACGUGUAGAGCACCGUAAAUUAGGAAUUGAUGGGACGUAUCUCAAAAUAAU